AUCGAACGCUGGCGGCAGGCCUAACACAUGCAAGUCGAACGAGUGGCGGACGGGUGAGUAAUGUCUGGGAAACUGCCCGAUGGAGGGGGAUAACUACUGGAAACGGUAGCUAAUACCGCAUACCAUCGGAUGUGCCCAGAUGGGAUUAGCUAGUAGGUGGGGUAAAGGCUCACCUAGGCGACGAGCCCUAGCUGGUCUGAGAGGAUGACCGGCAACACUGGAACUGGGACACGGCCCAGACUCUGACGGGGGGAAGCAGUGGGGAAUAUUGCAAAAUGGGCGCAAGCCUGAUGCAGCAAGGCCGCGUGUAGGAAGAAGGCCUUCGGGUUGUAAAGUACGUUCAGCGGGGAGGCGUUACCCGCAGAAGAAGCACCGGCUAACUCCGUGCCAGCAGCCGCGGUAAUAC
rnacentral:rRNA from 1 species